UUCUUCUCCACUGCUCUUAUUUUCAUGUUUUCUAAAUUUCAUUUUUUUUUGAAUUUUGUUGUUACUUUUUUUUUCUUUUUGUGUGUGUGUUUUUCCUGUGAUUUUUAUGGGAUUUAUAACUGGUAGCCUCUUAUGCAAUUUACUAUGCUUACAGUGGAAGUUAUAAUACCCUAUAAUUAAUUAUUAUUGCCAUUCUCAACUUAGUCAGCUGUGCUGUUUUCUGCUGCAGUUGAUUAUAAUGACUGGUAUAUUUAUACCUUGUUUCAAAAACAAAAAAAAACUUUGAUAUGAAUUGGAUGUUAGUUUGCUGUAAUUUUUUCUUAAUUAUAUACUUUUUUUUUUUUUAGUGUUCGAGGGUCUAUCGGAAACAGUCUCAGUUGUGGUGUUACAUUGCGCAUGUUUAGUAUAUACAAAGUAGUAGAUAUGUUGCUUGAAUUUUCCAAAAUGCAAUUUGGUGUGUAUUAAAAUAACAACAACGUAGCCUGUAUAGUUCCAACUGUAGUAGAUUUAAUUUUUGGAUGAUGUUACAACAUUUUUUGAAACAUCCAAGCUACAUAGCACAGCAAUACUAUGUUGUUCGAACUCUUCAAAAAUGUCAACGGGUGUGUGUCUGAUCUUUCAAAUAUAGUGUACUUUUGAAGGAUCCGACAUUGGUGCGGCAACAUUUUUGGAGAGUCAGAGCAACUUAGCAGCUAAGCAUUUACUCUUUAAAUCCUUAUGCUAUAUAUGUGUAUAGUUCUUUAGGAGUGUAUUUCUUGAUGUAUAGGUUAAUAUGUUUCAUUUUGCGCAGCCCUUAAGAUCGCCUUCCAUUAUUCUCCAUGGAAGCGUUUUGAGUCAUGGCCGCGCUAUAUUAACUGUGUAUGCAUACAUAUUCUUUUUAUGUACAAUGUACGUAUGAGGAGUGUGUUAUGUGCUGGAGAUUCUCUAUAGGGUUUUCCUUUAGUGAGUCUCCGUUUGCCUUGCCUAAUUUUAUGAGUCAUAUCCCUUUCUUGGUUCUGUCUUUACCGUUUGGGAUUAUAGAACCAAAGAUACUUUUGAAUGGCUCUAGUUAAGGUGGGGUAUACAUUAUAGUGUAAUUUUUAUUUUUGUAAAUGUACUUCUUGUUAUGGCUAGUAUGAUGAAAAACAAUUAGAUGUGCGAGAGGUGAAUUCCUUUAUGAGCUUAAACAUCGAGGCUUAUUGAUAUUCUGACUUGCCGUUGGAAGUACCUUCAUUUCAAUUUAGGACUUUUAGUUUGAUUAGGUGUAUAGAGUUAUGUAAAGUUGAAAACUUUUAAAGCUUGUGGUCUCAAAUUAGCUUAUAUCCGUUAUGUUGCUGUAAAUGUUUGUCCGUAAAGUUAAAAUGCAAUGUUGUAGUUGAAUUGUUGAAUGGGUUUGUUGUAAAUUUAUUGUUUGUUGUGGUAAGAAUGAUUGGAUUCUGACUUGCCUUCAUGUACUACUUUUCAUUUCUUUUGGGAAAAAAAGAAGUCUUUUGAAUUUGUGUUCUCACAUAUGCUGUAAUAUUUGUGUAGUUUUUCAUUUUGUCACUAAGGUCAAAAUGCAGUGUUCCAUGUAAAAUUGUUUUUGAAAUUAGAAAGGUGCCAUCUUGUGUAAUGAUAGCGCUUAUGUUCGGUGUCAUACUCCUUGGUUGAGGUUGUUUGUUUCUAGAUUUAUUAUUAUUUAUUGUUUUUUGUGGCAAGAAUGAUGAAAAACAAUUAGAUGUGUGAAGGGUAAAUUCCUUUAUGAGCUCAAUCAUCGAGGCUUAUUGAUAUUCUGACUUGCCUUUAUGAAGUACUCCUCAUUUCAUUUAGGAAAAAAAUAAGUCUAUUGAACUUGUGUUCUUACAUAUGCUGUGUAACAUUUGUGGGAUUGUUAGUUUGUCACUAAGGUCAAAAUGGAGUGUUCAAGUUAUAUUAUUUUUGAAAUUAGAAAGGUGCCUUAAUGACAGUUUCAAAACACUUGCAUUUUAACCUUAAUCAUUAGAAAGGUGCCUUUAUCAUUUCAUUUAGCAUUUGUGUGGUUGUGAAAAUCUGUCAUUAAGGUUAAAAUGAAAAUGUAGUUUAAAUUGUUUUCAUAUUUUGUAGUGUCAAUAUCCCUUUCUGGUUGUACCUUUCUCAUGGUAACUUGGGAAGAAUUGAAUUCAACAUCCCGUUUCCAAUGCUGUUAGCUUAUUUUGUUGUUAUAGUUGUUUAAAUUUGUCAAGGUUUGGACAUUGAGGUCCGGUAGUGAAGGGGACUGUCUACAUGAGCUUAGUUCAAACGGCAACAAGUUCCACUCAUGUGUUUUCCACCAUACCUAUUCAUCAUUGCUUGUUAUCGGCUGUUUAUGCCUGCUUUGCUUGCUUUUUUUGUGUUGGAAAGGAAAAUGAUGACAGUUAUUGUCGCCCCAGUCUUAAGUUGCAUCCUGUUUAUUGGAUAUGCAAGGUGGUGAUUGACACAUAUGUCUGAUUCUCCCUAAACAAUAAUCUUUAAAUUUAUAUUUGUUUGGUUUUAGCUUUUCUUGUUUGUGGAGAUAUGCAAAUAAGGUGUGAUGAUGCUUAUCCACCUAUUCUGUAGAGUUCAAUGAUGAAUUCAAAUACAUGCACUACCAUCUGAUCUUAUAGCAUUAUCCUCAGCCUUCGUUAAAGUUUUGCGGUUUCUCUGUUUUUUCCUUAUAUGGUGUGUUUUUUUGGUUUAAAAGUUUUCACUGAUGCAAUCAAUGAUGAUUUUUUUCCACAAUUGCUGAUUGAACAGUGAUUAAUAUAAAAAUAUCACCAUCUUUCGGCUGAGAUUGCAUCUAACACAAUUUUUUUCAUUAUCCUUCUUCAAUUUUGUUUAAACUCUGUUGCCUAUGGUAUCUAAUGUCCAGACUACUUUAUUGCUGGGUGUUUCGUUUUACGGGCAGAAAUUGAACAAAAGAGUAGAUCUUGCGACACAGUUGGCUUCUAUAUCGAUAAGCCUUCUGUUACUUAAACCCUACUUACAUCUCUUUUAUCUUUUCUUUUAUUAUAGAACCAAUGACUCUUUGAAUCUUUCUAAUUGAGAUGUUUACAUUAUAUUUCUAUAUUUAUUCUUAACCUUGUUAUGGCAAGAAUGAUGAAAACAAAUUAGAUGUGCGAGGGGUGAAUUCCUCUAUGAACUCAAUCAUCGAGGCAUAUUAAUAUUCUGACUUGCCUAUGUCAUUUUUACUCUUUAUGUUUUUGGUUUAAGACAAUAUUGAUUCUUUUGUGGUGUUAAAUUUAAAUAUAUAAGAAUCUUGGUGUGCCUAUAAAAGCUUAUUAUUACUAACAGUAACAUGAGCAUUUUGAGCUAAGUUGUAUAUGAUUGUGUUUGUUCUUUGGACAUAUUUAGUUACAUUUAGGCAGUAGUAGGAAUGAUGAAUAUCUAUUGUGUGAAGGGAGAUCUCCUUACUGAAUCUUUACUCUAACUGCUUAUUGAUAUUCUGACCUUUCACUUUUGGCAUUAAAGCUCCUGCUACGCACAGGGUCCGGGGAAGGGCCCAAUCACAAGGGUGUAUUGUACGCACCCUUACCUUGCAUUAUUGCCCGAGGUUGUUUCCAAGGCUCUGGUCACAUGUCAACAACUUUACCGAUUUACUACCUUGCUGAAUGUGUGUUGGUUCAGUUCGAAUGCGACACCGUUUUAAAGUUCAAUAUUGUUCGCGAAGCAUUUGAAGUUCUCUGCUGUGCACAUCACGGUCACCUAAGCAAACGGUUCUGAAUACCAAGUAUGACUCGUAACAGUCUAUAUAUGAUUCUUUCAUGUCCUUGUUGAUUCAAUGAUGUUAAGAGGUCCACUGGCAGAUGAAUGACAUGAUGAAAGGACAGUUCGGUGCACUAAAAGCUUCCGCUAUGCAUAUGGUUUGGGGAAGAGCUUCGCCAUAAAGGUAUAUUGUAUGCAACCUUACCUUGGACCGUGACCUUCUGGUCACAUUUAAAUCAUCGAAGAACAAUUAUUUUGAAAGCAAGAACAUAACAUUAUUACCAUAAAUUGUACAUAUAGGAUAAAUAUAUAUACAAUGUUGUUUUUCUGGCC